rnacentral:rRNA from 1 species
AACCAGUACCGUGAGGGAAAGGUGAAAAGCACCCCGGGAGGGGAGUGAAAUAGAACCUGAAACCGUGUGCCUACAACAAGUUCGAGCCCGUUAAUGGGUGAGAGCGUGCCUUUUGUAGAAUGAACCGGCGAGUUACGAUAUGAUGCGAGGUUAAGUUGAAGAGACGGAGCCGUAGGGAAACCGAGUCUUAAUAGGGCGCCAUAGUAUCAUGUUGUAGACCCGAAACCAUGUGACCUACCCAUGAGCAGGUUGAAGGUGAGGUAAAACUCACUGGAGGACCGAACCAGGGCACGUUGAAAAGUGCUUGGAUGACUUGUGGGUAGCGGAGAAAUUCCAAACGAACUUGGAGAUAGCUGGUUCUCUCCGAAAUAGCUUUAGGGCUAGCGUCGAUGUUAAGU